UCGCUGAAGGACCAGUGGUUGGGCCAUGGCGCUCUCAUGGCCACAGCCUGGGUUCGAUUCCCGGCCAGGGAA
rnacentral:tRNA from 1 species